rnacentral:rRNA from 1 species
AUGAACGCUGGCGGCGUGCUUAACACAUGCAAGUCGAACGGUGAAGGAGAGCUUGCUCUCUGGAUCAGUGGCGAACGGGUGAGUAACACGUGAGCAAUCUGCCCCUGACUCUGGGAUAAGCGCUGGAAACGGUGUCUAAUACCGGAUAUGAGCUGCGAAGGCAUCUUCAGCAGUUGGAAAGAUUUUUCGGUCAGGGAUGAGCUCGCGGCCUAUCAGCUAGUUGGUGAGGUAACGGCUCACCAAGGCGUCGACGGGUAGCCGGCCUGAGAGGGUGACCGGCCACACUGGGACUGAGACACGGCCCAGACUCCUACGGGAGGCAGCAGUGGGGAAUAUUGCACAAUGGGCGCAAGCCUGAUGCAGCAACGCCGCGUGAGGGACGACGGCCUUCGGGUUGUAAACCUCUUUUAGCAGGGAAGAAGCGAAAGUGACGGUACCUGCAGAAAAAGCACCGGCUAACUACGUGCCAGCAGCCGCGGUAAUACGUAGGGUGCAAGCGUUAUCCGGAAUUAUUGGGCGUAAAGAGCUCGUAGGCGGUCUGUCGCGUCUGCUGUGAAAACCCGAGGCUCAACCUCGGGCCUGCAGUGGGUACGGGCAGACUAGAGUGCGGUAGGGGAGAUUGGAAUUCCUGGUGUAGCGGUGGAAUGCGCAGAUAUCAGGAGGAACACCGAUGGCGAAGGCAGAUCUCUGGGCCGUAACUGACGCUGAGGAGCGAAAGGGUGGGGAGCAAACAGGCUUAGAUACCCUGGUAGUCCACCCCGUAAACGUUGGGAACUAGUUGUGGGGUCCAUUCCACGGAUUCCGUGACGCAGCUAACGCA